ACCCUCUCAAAGUACUUUAGGUUUCCCAAUGAGGAGGUUUAUCCCAAAUCCUACAUCUCUUUCAAUUCUAUGUCCUUUCUCUUCUAUAGAAAACUUCACAUGAAGUAUGCUUUCUGCUGCUGUGGUUUCAGAAAUCAUCUUAGAAGUUGAAACAAAGCUCAUGACAUUGUUCCUCCUUUGAUUUGUGUCAUUUUCUGAAUCACAAAUGCUGUAUAUGCCUGCAGUCUUCUGAUCUGUGGGGUCCUUUUGGACACAACUACAUUCAAAAAAAGGAAGUGCUGUUUAGCCACCUUAGAACCUGGCUGAUCCACUUAAUUCUACUUCCAUGAAAUAUUAAAUAUAGUUCAUUUUAAAAAAUGCAGGUUGGUUUCUGGCAACAAUUACACUAAGUGUUCUAGGAGCCUCAGGCAUCAUCAUCGUAAUCUGGUGGAGUUAUGAACAGAAAAAGCAAGAAAAGAUGAGCAUCUGGCUCCAGAGAAGACGAACGAAAAUAUGUUGUUCCCUCAUCCUUUUCCCAUGUGUAUUCCUGUUUGUAACAGGGGUAACAGGACAGCAGAGCACCAUGGAUCAACAAGCUUCAGAUGUUAACUGCAACUCGUCCAAAGGUUCGUCUCCGGCAAUAAUUACACUAAGUGUUCUAGGAGCCUCAAGCAUCAUCUUGAAUUUUGUACUA